rnacentral:rRNA from 1 species
AUGUGCAUCCCAAAAACAAGUAGAUGAAUGGGGUUUAGGGAUUUGCAUGCUUUUAAUCUUGCUAUGCUAGCUAAACGGAGUUGGAGGUUGAUUAAUUAACCAGAUACUUUAUGUGCUAGUGUGCUAAGAGCUAAGUAUUACCCAGAUGGCAAUUUACUAAAAGAAAGACCUAAAAAGGGGUCAUCUUUCACAUGGCAGAGGAUAAUUGCUGGAUUGCAUACUUUUAUGAGAUGACACAUAUGGAGAGUUGGAACUUGUACCAGUAUCAAUAUUUGGGAGGACCAUUGGGUGCCUAGUAGUCAUAGCAGAAAAGUUAUAACAUCAAAGGGUGAAAUAUUGCUACGAACAGUUGAUGAGCUAAUUGAUCCAUACACAGGACAGUGGGAUGAGCUGUUGAUCAGAGCCAGUUUCCUUAGUGUGGAUGUUUGA